AAAACCCUCUUCGAAAAACACAUUCGCUCCACCGUGUGCUGCCGACCCGCCGCAAGAAAUGGCCUCGGCCGCCGCCAGAUCCAUCUUCCGGUCGACCUCCUCCGCCCGCAGCGCCGCGUCGAGGGUGGCGUCCGGCGCCGCCAAAUCCGCCGGGUCUCCACCCCGCGCCGCGACCAACCGGCCCCUUCUUUCUCACCGGAUUUUCAGGAGCCCCGUGGAGAUGAGCGCCUGUGCGGAGACGAUGCUGCCUUACCACACCGCCACUUCCUCGGCGUUGAUGACUUCGAUGCUCUCCAUCUCUCGCCGCUCCUACGGAUGGCUUCCCGAUGGUAUCUAACCAUCACUCGUAGGCCACCUUGAUAGCCUUUUCUUGCUUUAUAUCUUCUGCUUGCAAUGAUGACGUGUAAUGAGUGCUCAGGGGGUUCAUUCUGUGCAAGUUCUUAGAGCUUAGAAGUUGAAUGAGCUGCAGAGCAGACCAGUUGAUACUGUGUUCUAAGUCUAGAUGGACUAACAUCAAGCUAGUUGUAGUUUCUUUGCCUUGAGUGAUGCUUCGCUUGGCAACCAGAGAUUUCUACUAGGCUAAGGUUUCUAUAGAUUUUUGGAGGAACUCUUCUGCCAAGUUUUUGUAUACGAUCAGUUAUUUAUCAAACAGAAUGCUGAUUCUGACGUUCAAUCAG